UUCCAGGUACAGAGGGACUGAGUCCAGCACCCUCACCCACCUCCAUGCGGGCCACAGCUCCAGUGUGAACCCAAAGAAAGCCGCAGGGUUUGGUUUUGCCCGUGACUCUCGUGGGUAGGGGAACCCUGCUUUUGAACAAGGCCUGCCUCUCCAGUUCCCUCUGGCAGACAGGACAGGAUGGUGGUUAAGGACCCAGACUCCGGAGCCAGAGUGACUGGGGCAGGAUCCUGGCGAUACGCUGCAGGUUAGCUGUGUGGCUCUUAACCUCCACUUAACCUCUCUGGGUCUCCACUUCUCUCCCACAAAAUAGGGGAUGCCAACAGAACACGCCUCAGCGUUACAAAGAUUAAAGGAGAAAGGGAAGAGGGCGGAGAGGAGGGAAAUGGAGGGGGAGAGAGGGGAGACCCCCUACCGACCUGCAUGUAGGUGAUGGGCUCCAGCUGGGCCGCCCUGAGCUUCCGCAGCUGCUCCUUGUCCUUCCUCAGGUCUGUCUUGCAGCCAAUGAGCACCGUGGGGGUCCCACGGCAGAAAUGUGUGACCUCAGGGAACCACUGUGGAGGGAGAAGGCAGGCAUCAGGGCUGAGGCCAGAUCCGUGGUCCCCACCCCUGAGGUCUCUGCAGAAAUGUCACCUCCUCGGGGGCAGCUUUCCUGACUGCUCGGAGACAAAGCCUUCGACCCAGUCUAUCCCAUGUCCGACCAUGGCUUUAUUAUUCUUCUGAAUGGUCUCCUGACCUGUGAAACAACACACCUCGGCAGUGCUCACUCAUGACGAAGGCUCGUUGUGCUCUCUCAUGGCUUCAUUUGAAGCCCGUGGCCUACACUACCUCAUCACGAUGCCAACAAGGGUCCUAGCCCGGUGCGUUCACCUGUCAUUCCCAGAGAAACCGAGGCAGCUGAGAAACAGGAGCUCAGCCUGAAGCGCGGCUCCCACUCGCUCCCCUGCAAGUCACGGCGCGCCCCCCACCGGCAAGAUUCGAUGGUUUCCGCGGUACCUCGCUGGGCACCCCUGAUUGGCAGGCUCCGCCUUCUGGCAGGGCCCCUCUGAUUGGUCGACUCGGCCUCCCCCAUCUGACAGAGACUCUUUGAUUGGCGGACCGUUGCCCCAGCACCAGAGUUCAGGAGACUGGGUCUCCAGCUCUGGGAAAAGCCCCCUCGCUUUGCCCCGCCCCAGCUGUGUGGCCUGGGGCAAGUCGGCUUCCGACCUCAGUUUCCCCACUAGGUAGGUUGGUCGAGCCAGGAAAGAUGCUAGCACAGGGGGCGUGCCUGCCCACCUAGCCCAGCCCUACGGGCGCCAGUGUGGGUGCAGGUUGGGGGUGGGGAAGAGCGGUUCCCCUCACCUACCCCUCCCACUUCCCUAAGAGCGCAAGGUGGGUGUCUGGCGCCCUCUGGCGGGCAGUCAUCUUGGGGCGGACGGCUUGGAAGGCAGGUGAACUCCGGGAACAAUUUCCUUUGGGGGCUGGCCCCAAACCACGCGGGCGGAAGCCUCUUUCUAGCAGGGGCCAGAGGCGUGAACCGAGGAAGACACCGUCGAGGAAGGUAUGGGGAAAGCUAGGACAGAUCUAGUUGUGAGAAGCUGGGCCCAUUGAUAACUUCCACCCCACCCUUAAAUUUGAUUUGAUUAAGCGCUCUCCAGCCAUUAGCCACAUAUCUUCAGGCCACAAGCCAGGCAGUCUCAUCAAUCCUCCCACGCCCCUUGAUUAAAACAACUAUUUAUUAAGCACUAUGUGCAGGAUAACACGGGGGCUGCUGGCUGAGACCACCCAACCCUUCCCUCCCUGCAACAGUCUUUCGCAAAAGCCAGGCUAGUGGUCAGGAGAGGCAGGAGACCCCUGGGGCCUGUGUGCGGCAAGCAGGCAUUGAAGCAUGGCUAAGUGAGGGAGAGGGGUCCAACCAGCUGGGGUUGGAUCUCUGGUAGGUUCCUCAGAGAGGGCUAGGCAGGACUCAGGAUCUUCUUGCCCCACCCCCACCGCAUCCCCGGGAAGAUUCUGAAUUUCCAAGUUCUCAGUAAAGACCAAGUAAAUUUUACUUCAGGGAGGAAAUUGCCAACCUGGCAAUUUUGUUAAGUGCCCCGUCCGUUCUCAGAGGAUGCAAGGCAGGUCUGACCACCAGAGGGGAGCAGCGACCGCUCGUGAGAGCUUACAAAAAAGCCUAUAGCUGGGAAAAAGAGGUAAGGCCCCCCCCUAGUUCCACGCUAUUAUGUGAAAGUCCCAAGCUUUAGGCAGCCGGUCAGAGAGCCACCUGCUAGGUCAAGCACCGCCCCCCCCCCCCACACACACAAAUUUACAGCAACUCAUUCAUUCCUUUUUUACCACGCAAGUUUAUUGAGAGGCAAUUGUGUUCCUGCCUGGAGGGAGCUGUCUUAGGGGAAGCAGUCUCUUUAAGGGGUCUGGGAGAUGUCAACGCUUUAGAGACCAGACCCCUGUAGGGCUCAGCGAAGGCUGAGCCUAAGCUUGGCAGUGUUGGGAGGGCAGACCAACGGGAGCAAGAUGGGUACCCUGGACAAAUGAACGGUGGCUGGAAAAUCCCAUCAGAUUCUGCAGUGCCUGGGGAGUGAGGAGGGAGGCCAGACAUGG